rnacentral:lncRNA from 1 species
GUAUCAACUUUUAAAGAGAAGUUCAAACCAUGGAUUCCAAGUACUCGGACCAAAACACAGUAGAGUAUGGUUAAUUCAGCUAAUUGGGCUACUCCACAGGAGCUCAUUCUAAGGAUUAUGGAGAUAAACCAUGGAAAGGGAUUUCAUUGUAAUACCCACGAUUGAGAUGGUUGGAGAUAAAGCCAUUAUCCAGUGAUAGUUCAUCAUGUUGAAGGAAUCCUGCUUGUUCCUGCCCUCACAAGGAUGCAGCCUUCAAGGUGUCAUCUUGGAAGCAGAGACUGGGCCCUCAUCAGACACCAAACCCGUUGGCAUCUUAAUCUUGGAUUUCCUAGCCUCCAGAACCGUGAGCAAAUAAAUUUAUGUUCUUUAUAAAUUACCCAGUCUAUGGUAUUCUGUUACAGCAGCACAAAAUGGAUUAAAACAGAUGGUAUAUGAUUAGGAUAAAUCUAUACAUGAGGGAGGAAGGAGGAUAGGGAAAAGAACGAAGCAAAAUAAAGACUUGGUUUCAGAUGUCAAACCUCAGUCUGAUCCUACAGGGAAGCACUGGAGCAUAAAUUCUAUCACAGAGUCUGUCCUGCCUUCAGGAGGGGUGCUUUUGUAAUCUGCAUUAGUCACUCAUUGGGUCAGGGUCACCUAAGGUGAAGGGUAUUUCUCUCAGGCACCUCCAGUGAGGUGAUUAAAAGACCCUGUGGGCUUAUCUGUCUGAAAAGGUUGAAAUAUGAACUCAUGAGCUGUUAGCAGCAGCACCUAUAGCAGCAGGUGAAAAGGAUCCCUGAAUAUCUGGGAGGGGCACCAGCAGUGGCUGCAAUAAGGAUCCAGCUGGCAGAAGUAGAUAUAGAUGGACAGAUAAGUGAUUGCAGCCAGAGAGCAGAGUCUUCACAUCCUUUGAAAGUUGUUCAUUUCAGAGCAGCCAGAGUACACAACAGGAAUAAAGUAGAACCAUGCACAUAUUAAAUGCUAUAUAGAGAUCAAGGAAAACAAGCUAAUCAGCUUGGGCAGGU